rnacentral:rRNA from 1 species
AGUAACGCGUGGGAAUUUACCCGAUUGUAUGGAAUAACUGCGGGAAACUGCAGCUAAUACCGUAUAAGCCCUCCGGGGGAAAGAUUUAUCGCUAUCGGAUAAGCCCGCGUCGGAUUAGCUAGUUGGUAGGGUAAAAGCCUACCAAGGCAACAAUCCGUAGCUGGUCUGAGAGGACGAUCAGCCUCACUGGGACUGAGACACGGCCCAGACUCCUACGGGAGGCAGCAGUGGGGAAUAUUGGACAAUGGGCGCAAGCCUGAUCCAGCCAUGCCGCGUGAGUGAAGAAGGCCCUAGGGUUGUAAAGCUCUUUCAGCGGGGAAGAUGAUGACGGUACCCGCAGAAGAAGCCCCGGCCAACUCCGUGCCAGCAGCCGCGGUAAUACGGAGGGGGCUAGCGUUGUUCGGAAUUACUGGGCGUAAAGCGCACGUAGGUGGUUGGCGUAGUCAGGCGUGAAAUCCCGAGGCUCAACCUCGGAACUGCGCUUGAUACUGGCCGACUAGAGGUCGGGAGAGGGUAGUGGAAUUCCCAGUGUAGAGGUGAAAUUCGUAGAUAUUGGGAAGAACACCAGUGGCGAAGGCGGCUACCUGGACCGAUUCUGACACUGANGUGCGAAAGCGUGGGGAGCGAACAGGAUUANAUACCCUGGUAGUCCACGCCGUAAACGAUGAGUGCUAGAUGUCGGGGGACAUAGUCCUUCNGUAUCGCAGCUAACGCAUUAAGCACUCCGCCUGGGGAGUACGGCCGCAAGGUUAAAACUCNAAAGGAAUUGACGGGGGCCCGCACAAGCGGUGGAGCAUGUGGUUUAAUUCGACGCAACGCGAANAACCUUACCAGCCCUUGACAUCCUGGUCGCGGGGACGANAGAUCGANCCUUUCAGUUCGGCUGGACCAGUGACAGNUGCUGCAUGGCUGUCGUCAGCUCGUGUC